UAUAAACUAAUAUUACAUAAUAUUAUGUAUUAUUUUAGAUUUUGAUAUUUGGAUUUAGAGUUUAUAUUUGAGUUUAUGGUUUAGUAAUUACUGAUUAGGGUUUAGUAUUUAGAGUAAUAUGGGUGAGUUUGAGGUCAGUAUUAUAUUUUGAGAUUUGGAUUUAGAGUUUAGGGGUUAAGGUUUAUACUUGGGUUUAGGGUUUAUUGAGUAAGAUUUAGGGUUUAGUAUUUAGAAGGGAGGGGUUGGGAUUUGGGUGUAGUGAACAUGUAUCGUUUCAUUUAACGAUUAAUAAAGAAUGUUCUAUUUUGUUCACCAAUAUGUACUAUAUUAUUUAUUUUAUUCCAUUCUAUUUGGGUUUAAGGUCUAUACUUGGGUUUAGGAUUUAGUGAUUAGAGUUUAGAGUUUAGUAUUUGGAAGGUGUGGGGUUAAGGUUUGGGUUUAGUGAUAGCAGUUUAGGGUUUAAUAUUCAAAAUGUGCCUUCAAGUGUCCAAUAUUGGAAAAAAAAUUUAUAGAUUGUAUUUGAGUUUAUAGGUUCCUGCCUAGGGUUUAGUUUUACUACGUAUAAGUUUGGGUAUAGUAAAUCAUAUUAUAUAUACAUUAUUUAGGUUUAUGCUCCUUAAUUAGGGUUUAGCUUUAAUAAUUAAUGGUGUGUCUUGUAUUGUUGUAUUUUUGCGGGUGAGGAAGGUUUACUAUUUGCAUUCCAUACUAUGGAUACACCAUUGAAAAAUUUUGAUUAUUUAAAACAUUCGUGUACUAUACUACUUAGACUAUAUGGAAUAGAAGAAAUGUAACACGCUAUCCAAGUAAAUGUGCCUUUAAGUGUCCAAUAUUGGGAAAUAAUUUAUAGAUUGUAUUUGGUUUAUAGGUUCAUGCAUAGGGUUUAGAUUUAGUAAGUAGAGGUUUGGGUUUAGUAAACCAUAUUAUAUAUAUUCUAUUUGGGUUUAUGCUUCCUUAAUUUAGGUUUAGAUUUAUUAAUCAGUGGUGUGUCUUUCUUCUUUCUUUGGGCCAUUUCUUUCUUCUUCUGUGCCGGCAACUUGCAUAUGUGGAGGGUAUAACCGGAUAAUAUGAAGUCUAAAUGUUAGUUUAUUCAUUUAGGGUUUAGUGAUUAAGAUUUAGAUUUUAGUAUUUGGAAGGUGGGGUUGAGAUUUGGGUUUAGUGACCCUAUCAUGUAUCGUUCCAUUUGACGAUUAAUAAAGAUUGUUCUCUUUUGUUCACAAUUAUGUACUAUACUAUAUGUUUUGUUCCAUUCUAUCUGGGUUUAGGGUCUAUACUUGGGUUUAAGGUUUAGUGAUUAGGAUUUAGGGUUUAGUGAUUAGUAUUUAGGGUUUAGGGUUUAGUGAUUAGUAUUUAGGGUUUAGUGAUUAGUAUUUAGGGUUUAGUAAUUAGGGGUUGGGUUUAGAGUUUAGUAUGAUAUUUUCCAUCUUUAUAUAGUAUAGUUUAAUAUCACAAAGUAUUAUAUAUAUAUUUUCAGAUUUUAAUUUUAUUUUAAAAUUAUAAAUAUAUAUAAAAGUUUACAUUUGAGUUUGGAUUUAAUGAUCCAUUUAGGGUUUAGUAUUUAAAAGUUGGAGUUAGAUUUAGGUUUAUAUUUGAGCUUAUGGUUUAUAUUUGGAUUUAGGGUUUAGUGGUUAGGGUUUAAGGUUUAAUAUUUAUAAAUUAGUUUUAGAUUGAGAUAAGUUCUAGUAUCUAGAUUUAAUUGUUGAUGUAUAACUAAUAUUCUAUAUUAUUUUGGUGAUAUGAAGUAGAAUUAAUGAAAUGUUUGU
rnacentral:lncRNA from 1 species